AAUGGAACAAUAAGUGAGGGCCAAAAAUAGGAUUAAAAUUAAUCCGCGGAUUUGUAUUUGUGGGGUUAAAACGUACUGAACUUUAAUUUAUGGAUCAUUUUGAAUUAACUAUCUAAUUUUCUGAACCUGAAAAUUCAAAUUCGAAAUAAUUAUUUCUCUUUAGAUUUUUAAAUUACAAAUUUAAAUAACAUCAAAAAUUUAUAUAUAUUACAUAAUUUAAAAUCAAUUUGGGUUCAAAUUCAGAUCGAGUGCAGACAAAAUUCAUACCCAAAUUCUAAAUACGUCGGGUUUUUAUUUUUUAUACUAGUAUGCAAAACUAUAUAUGUUUAGCAUUGAGUAAAUCCGCUUCGUU
rnacentral:lncRNA from 1 species